UACGUAGGGGGCAAGCGUUGUCCGGAGUUACUGGCGUAAAGCGCACGCAGGCGGUCUUUUAAGUUUGGAGUGACAGUUGGUGGCUUAACUGCCAAAGUGCUUCGAAAACUGAGAGACUUGAGGGCUUCAGAGGGACACGGAAUUCCCGGUGUAGCAGUGAAAUGCGUAGAGAUCGGGAGGAACACCAGUGGCGAAGGCGGCUACCUGGACCAGCAUUGACACUCGAAGCACGAAAGCGUGGGGAGCAAACAGG
rnacentral:rRNA from 1 species